CGGGCCCUGAAGGUGGUUCGGACUUGGGUUUGGUCCAGUACAAUACACCAGAGAUGGGGAAAGAGACACCUGUUCAGCCAUUUAUUGAAAAUAAUCAGUCUCUCUUCCAGACUCUCAGACAUCUGAACUGGUCACACCUGGGACUGCUGUGAGCGAAGCAGCUGAAAGAACCCUCGGCCCGGCAGGGAGAGCGUGGCACCAUCCCGGACACUGCAGCUGGACGCCUGACCCUGCCCAGCCUCUCUUCCCUCCCCAAGAGUUGCUGUGUGCCGUGUGCAUCUGUACGGCAUUAGAAAUAUUUGUUAUUUUUCAAGGUGCGUCUCACUCUGUUGCUGAGGUAGCCUUGGACUCCUGAAUUCAAGCCACCCUCCUGUCUUAGCCUCUGAGCAGCUGAGAUUACGGCCACCCAACACUGCGGACAACUCCUCUUGAUUCCAAAUGACUAUUUUGCUUUAGCUAUAUAAUCACAUCACCUUCAAAUGCUGAGAACUUGGUCCUUUGCUCUCCAAAAAAUUGUAUUUGUUCAUAUCUAAUUGUACCAAUGGUAUUUUUAGAACAUCCUAAAUAAAAACAGUGAUAUCAACA
rnacentral:lncRNA from 1 species